rnacentral:rRNA from 1 species
AUACAGAGGGUGCAAGCGUUAAUCGGAUUUACUGGGCGUAAAGCGCGCGUAGGUGGCUAAUUAAGUCAAAUGUGAAAUCCCCGAGCUUAACUUGGGAAUUGCAUUCGAUACUGGUUAGCUAGAGUAUGGGAGAGGAUGGUAGAAUUCCAGGUGUAGCGGUGAAAUGCGUAGAGAUCUGGAGGAAUACCGAUGGCGAAGGCAGCCAUCUGGCCUAAUACUGACACUGAGGUGCUAAAGCAUGGGGAGCAAACAGGAUUAGAUACCCGGGUAGUCCAUGCCGUAAACGAUGUCUACUAGCCGUUGGGGCCCUUGAGGCUUUAGUGGCGCAGCUAACGCGAUAAGUAGACCGCCUGGGGAGUACGGUCGCAAGACUAAAACUCAAAUGAAUUGACGGGG